UACGUAGGGUGCGAGCGUUAAUCGGAAUUACUGGGCGUAAAGCGUGCGCAGGCGGUUCGUUGUGUCGGCGGUGAAAGCCCCGGGCUUAACCUGGGAACGGCCGUUGAAACUGGCGAACUGGAGUGUGGCAGAGGGGGGUGGAAUUCCGCGUGUAGCAGUGAAAUGCGUAGAGAUGCGGAGGAACACCGAUGGCGAAGGCAGCCCCCUGGGCUAACACUGACGCUCAUGCACGAAAGCGUGGGGAGCAAACAGG
rnacentral:rRNA from 1 species